CGGAACGGGUGAGUAAUGCGUGACCAACCUGCCCCAUGCUCCAGAAUAGCUCUUGGAAACGGGUGGUAAUGCUGGAUGCUCCAACUUGACGCAUGUCUUGUUGGGAAAGUGUUUAGUGGCAUGGGAUGGGGUCGCGUCCUAUCAGCUUGUAGGCGGGGUAAUGGCCCACCUAGGCUUCGACGGGUAGCCGGCCUGAGAGGGCGGACGGCCACAUUGGGACUGAGAUACGGCCCAGACUCCCACGGGAGGCAGCAGGU
rnacentral:rRNA from 1 species